ACUCCUGCGGGAGGCAGCAGUGGGGAAUUUUGGACAAUGGGCGAAAGCCUGAUCCAGCCAUGCCGCGUGCAGGAUGAAGGCCUUCGGGUUGUAAACUGCUUUUGUACGGAACGAAACGGCCUUUUCUAAUAAAGAGGGCUAAUGACGGUACCGUAAGAAUAAGCACCGGCUAACUACGUGCCAGCAGCCGCGGUAAUACGUAGGGUGCAAGCGUUAAUCGGAAUUACUGGGCGUAAAGCGUGCGCAGGCGGUUAUGUAAGACAGUUGUGAAAUCCCCGGGCUCAACCUGGGAACUGCAUCUGUGACUGCAUAGCUAGAGUACGGUAGAGGGGGAUGGAAUUCCGCGUGUAGCAGUGAAAUGCGUAGAUAUGCGGAGGAACACCGAUGGCGAAGGCAAUCCCCUGGACCUGUACUGACGCUCAUGCACGAAAGCGUGGGGAGCAAACAGGAUUAGAUCCCCAGUAGUCCCAUG
rnacentral:rRNA from 1 species